GUCCACGCAGUAAACGAUGAUCACUAGCUGUUUGCGAUACAGUGUAAGCGGCACAGCGAAAGCGUUAAGUGAUCCACCUGGGGAGUACGCCGGCAACGGUGAAACUCAAAGGAAUUGACGGGGGCCCCGCACAAGCGGAGGAACAUGUGGUUUAAUUCGAUGAUACGCGAGGAACCUUACCCGGGUUUGAACGCAUUUCGACCGCUCUGGAAACAGAGCCUCUAGCAAUAGCGAUUUGCGAGGUGCUGCAUGGUUGUCGU
rnacentral:rRNA from 1 species